UUAGAGGCAGGGAGUUCCAAUCCUCUUUGGAGAUUUGGAUCAUGUGGUUCCAGAGGGAAGGCUGUAGCUGCUAUGAAGUAGCUAUAAAAAGGAUGCACUAGAGGGAUUUGCUUUUAGCAAAGAGUGAGGACUUCAUUGCCAUUUCCCCCCAAGACCCCUUGCACCUUAGGAAGAGUCACACUGAUUUAACCUUGUGAGGAUCAAGAAUUGUAGUGAAACUGGGAUAUAGAGUUCCUAGCUAAACACUGACCUUUGCCUAACCAAAGCCAUGAAGACCUGUUACCAUUUCCUUCUUGCCAUUGCCUUAAUCCUUUCAGCUGAUCCAGUCUUUGCUCAGAUAAUAGGUGAAGAAAAAUGCAAUUCCUUCGGUGGCGUCUGCAAAGACAGCUGUGAGUCAGGUUAUGAUGACAUUGGAGAAUGCAGUACGACACGUUGCUGCAUAAGCUUUGCAUCUGAAUGAUGGGAUCCGUCUCUGCUGCCACUUGGCCUGAAGAUUCAUUAGCUCCUACCUGAACACCAGCGUUAUCCAGGAAUCGUGGUUUUUUUCCCCACCACCAGCUGAAGGACCAUAAAAGCAUGUUUGGUGUAAAACCUUCAAAGACCAUGUGUUAAUAAAAAAUAAAAACUAUAGUGCAGAUGG